AGGCCUAUGGCCUAAUAGGAUUAAGGCAGCUCUCUUCGAAAGAGCAGAUCUGUGUUCGACUCACAGUAGGCCCA
rnacentral:tRNA from 1 species